rnacentral:tRNA from 1 species
UCAUAGGUGGUUCAGUGGUAGAAUUCUCACCUUCCCUGUGGAAGACUUGGGUUCAAUUCCCAGCCAAUGCA